rnacentral:tRNA from 1 species
GGUCCCAUGGUGUAAUGGUCAGCACUCAGGACUCUGAAUCCUACAAUCUGAGUUCAAAUCUCAGUAGGACCU